UAUUUGACUGAACGAUGGGCUGAGGCCUGGGAGUGCUGGGAAUUGGGAUUCAUGAUACGAUUCACCCCUUAAGAAUGGGAAGUACAGACCUACUCUCCCUGCAGCCUACCUCAGUGUGGGACUUUGGAACAGUCUUAAACAUGUAAUAGAAGGAAAUGUUCCAGUUAAUGUUCUUGCUGUUCCAACAGCUGCAUCAAUCCAGACACUCCUGAAACCCUCACAAGAUGAUUUACUCAGUAUCCUGUGUAUGGUCUGAUGAUGCAGCAGACAACUACAGAGUGGGUGCUGCUGAGCAGAGCUGUGCUGUUCCCUCUCCCUCCUCCCAUACAGACUGUUGCUUCCCUUCUAAGCACUACUACUCUUCCAAUCCCCAGGGAGCCAGUUCAGGAAGGCAAAACUUGCUGGAGUGUACAAAUCAUCGCUUCAGAACCAAGUGCUUGGAAGUCACCUGUUAUCAUCAAUUAGAGAAGGGAUCAACUUUGACAUAAAUGGUUUUACUCCAGAAAAGUGAGCUGAUGCAUAGCACUUGUCAGAAUGGCUUGGUUCGAACUACGGGUGUCUCCAAGGGGAGCAGAUGAUUGACAGAGUUCCUUCACUCACAAAUUCUGGCCAUGAGUGCUUGGUUGUUCACCUCCUGUUGCUGCAUUAAGAACUCCUCUUCUGUUGACCAAGAUGGGACCUUUGGACACCUAGGAUAUUGAUGGACUACAGUAAUGAAUUUAUAAAUAAAGCAUCAUUACUGAUCAAUA
rnacentral:lncRNA from 1 species